UACGUAGGGGGCAAGCGUUGUCCGGAUUUAUUGGGCGUAAAGGGCUUGUAGGCGGCCAGGCGAGGCCGGUGGGGAAAUCUCCCGGCUCAACUGGGAGGGGUCAUUCGAUACUGGCGGGCUCGAGGCCGGUAGGGGGAAGUGGAAUUCCCGGUGUAGUGGUGGAAUGCGUAGAUAUCGGGAGGAACACCAGUGGCGAAGGCGGCUUCCUGGACCGGUUCUGACACUGAGGAGCGAAAGCGUGGGGAGCGAUCCGG
rnacentral:rRNA from 1 species